AUUGAACGCUGGCGGUAUGCCUAACACAUGCAAGUCGAACGGCAGCACACGACAGGUUGCUCUCUAGUUGGCAAGUGGCGGGUGAUUGAUGAAUACAUCCGCAUCCGCGCAGUCGAGGUGGUUAACGGAGUAAAUCUUACGCCAUUCCCUCUUAGGACGUUCGGGGGAGAGCGGGGGAUCUCAAGACCUCUCGCGGUUGGAUGAGCGGAUGUCGGAUUAGCUAGUUAGUGGGGUAAUGGCCCACCAAGGCGACGAUCCGUAGCUGGUCUGAGAGGAUGAACAGCCACACUGGAACUGAGACACGGUCCAGACUCCUACGGGAGGCAGCAGUGGGGAAUAUUGGACAAUGGGCGCAAGCCUGAUCCAGCAAUGCCGCGUGGAGGAAGAAGGCCUUCGGGUUGUAAAGUGCUUUUGUUGGGAAAGAAACCGCUCAGGUUAAUACCCGGGGAGAAUGACGGUACCCAAAGAAUAAGCACCGGCUAACUACGUG
rnacentral:rRNA from 1 species